UACGGAGGGGACUAGCGUUGUUCGGAAUUACUGGGCGUAAAGCGCACGUAGGCGGAUUUGUAAGUCAGGGGUGAAAUCCCGGGGCUCAACCUCGGAACUGCCUUUGAUACUGCAAAUCUCGAGUCCGGAAGAGGUGAGUGGAAUUCCUAGUGUAGAGGUGAAAUGCGUAGAUAUUGGGAGGAACACCAGUGGCGAAGGCGGCUCACUGGACCGGUACUGACGCUGAGGUGCGAAAGCGUGGGGAGCAAACAGGG
rnacentral:rRNA from 1 species